AUUGAACGCUGGAGGCAGGCCUAACACAUGCAAGUCGAGCGGAUGAAGGGAGCUUGCUCCUGGAUUCAGCGGCGGACGGGUGAGUAAUGCCUAGGAAUCUGCCUGGUAGUGGGGGAUAACGUCCGGAAACGGGCGCUAAUACCGCAUACGUCCUGAGGGAGAAAGUGGGGGAUCUUCGGACCUCACGCUAUCAGAUGAGCCUAGGUCGGAUUAGCUAGUUGGUGGGGUAAAGGCCUACCAAGGCGACGAUCCGUAACUGGUCUGAGAGGAUGAUCAGUCACACUGGAACUGGGACACGGUCCAGACUCCUACGGGAGGCAGCAGUGGGGAAUAUUGGACAAUGGGCGAAAGCCUGAUCCAGCCAUGCCGCGUGUGUGAAGAAGGCCUUCGGAUUGUAAAGCACUUUAAGUUGGGAGGAAGGGCAGUAAGUUAAUACCUUGCUGUUUUGACGUUACCAACAGAAUAAGCACCGGCUAACUUCGUG
rnacentral:rRNA from 1 species